GGUGACUAUUGCAAUGAGGUUCCACCUCUUCCCAUCCCGAACAGAGAAGUUAAGCUCAUUAGCGCCGAUGGUACUGCAGAAAUGUGGGAGAGUAGGUCGUCGCCAUUU
rnacentral:rRNA from 1 species